AUUGAACGCUGGCGGCAUGCUUUACACAUGCAAGUCGAACGGUAACAGGGUGCUUGCACCGCUGACGAGUGGCGAACGGGUGAGUAAUGCGUCGGAACGUGCCGAGUAGUGGGGGAUAACGCAUCGAAAGGUGUGCUAAUACCGCAUACGUACUGAGGUAGAAAGUGGGGGACCUUCGGGCCUCACGCUAUUCGAGCGGCCGACGUCUGAUUAGCUAGUUGGUGAGGUAAAGGCUCACCAAGGCGACGAUCAGUAGCGGGUCUGAGAGGAUGAUCCGCCACACUGGGACUGAGACACGGCCCAGACUCCUACGGGAGGCAGCAGUGGGGAAUUUUGGACAAUGGGCGCAAGCCUGAUCCAGCCAUGCCGCGUGUCUGAAGAAGGCCUUCGGGUUGUAAAGGACUUUUGUCCGGGAGCAAAUACCCAGUGCUAAUAACGCUGGGGGCUGAGAGUACCGGAAAUAUAAGCACCGGCUAACUACGUGCCAGCAGCCGCCGUAAUAC
rnacentral:rRNA from 1 species